rnacentral:rRNA from 1 species
GACGAACGCUGGCGGCGUGCUUAACACAUGCAAGUCGAACGGAAAGGCCCUGCUUUUGUGGGGUGCUCGAGUGGCGAACGGGUGUGUAACACGUGAGUAUCCUGCCCUUGACUUUGGGAUAACUUCAGGAAACUGGGGCUAAUACCGGAUAGGAGCUCCUGCUGCAUGGUGGGGGUUGGAAAGUUUCGGCGGUUGGGGAUGGACUCGCGGCUGAUCAGCUUGUUGGUGGGGUAGUGGCUUACCAAGGCUUUGACGGGUAGCCGGCCUGAGAGGGUGACCGGCCGCAAUGGGACAGAGUUACGGCCCAGACUGCUGCGGGGGGCAGCGGUGGGGAAUAGUGCGCAAUGGGCGGAAGCCUGAUGCAGCAACGCCGCGUGCGGGAUGACGGCCUUCGGGUUGUAAACCGCUUUCGCCUGUGACGAAGCGUGAGUGACGGUAAUGGGUAAAGAAGCACCGGCUAACUACGUG